rnacentral:rRNA from 1 species
UGACAGUACUCCUACGGGAGGCAGCAGUGGGGAAUAUUGCACAAUGGGCGCAAGCCUGAUGCAGCAACGCCGUGUGAGUGAAGAAGGUUUUCGGAUCGUAAAGCUCUGUCCUAAGGGAGAAAAAAUGAACGGUACCUUAGGAGGAAGCCCCGGCUAACUACGUGCCAGCAGCCGCGGUAAUACGUAGGGGGCAAGCGUUAUCCGGAAUCACUGGGCGUAAAGGGUGCGUAGGCGGCUUGACAAGCCAGGGGUGAAAGGCAUUGGCUCAACCAAUGUAAGCCUUUGGAACUGUUAAGCUUGAGUGCAGGAGAGGUAAGUGGAAUUCCUAGUGUAGAGGUGAAAAUUCGUAGAUAUUAGGAGGAACACCAGUGGCGAAGGCGACUUACUGGACUGUAACUGACGCUGAUGCACGAAAGCGUGGGUAGCGAACAGGAUUAGAUACCCUGGUAG